rnacentral:rRNA from 2 species
CACCGCGGUUAUACGAGAGGCCCAAGCUGACAGUUACCGGCGUAAAGAGUGGUUAAUAACCCACAACUACUAAAGCCGAACAUCUCCAAAGUUGUACAACGCACUCGAAGACAUGAAGAACAACCGCGAAAGUGGCUUUAACCUCUUUGAACCCACGAAAGCUAGGAAA